AUGAACGCUAGCGACAGGCCUAACACAUGCAAGUCGAGGGGCAGCACAAGGAGCAAUCUGAGGUGGCGACCGGCGCACGGGUGAGUAACACGUAUGCAACCUGCCUGUAAGCGGGGAAAUAACCCGUUGAAAGACGGACUAAUACCGCAUAAUACUAAAUUACUGCAUGGUAAUUUAUUUAAACAUUUAUGGCUUACAGAUGGGCAUGCGCAUGAUUAGCUAGUUGGAGAGGUAACGGCUCCCCAAGGCAACGAUCAUUAGGGGUUCUGAGAGGAAGGUCCCCCCACACUGGUACUGAGACACGGACCAGACUCCUACGGGAGGCAGCAGUGAGGAAUAUUGGUCAAUGGACGAGAGUCUGAACCAGCCAAGUCGCGUGCAGGAAGAAUUGUCCUAUGGAUUGUAAACUGCUUUUGCAGGGGAAUAAAGUGCAUCACGUGUGAUGUUUUGUAUGUACUCUGCGAAUAAGGAUCGGCUAACUCCGUGCCAGCCGCCGC
rnacentral:rRNA from 1 species